rnacentral:rRNA from 1 species
AGAACGAACGUUAGCGGCGCGCCUAACACAUGCAAGUCGAACGAGAAAGGGCUUCGGCCCCGGUAAAGUGGCGCACGGGUGAGUAACACGUGACUAACCUACCUUCAAGUGGGGGAUAACCUCGGGAAACCGGGGCUAAUACCGCAUAACAUCUUUGGAGUGGAAAUUCUGGAGAUCAAAGGAGCAAUUCGCUGGAAGAGGGGGUCGCGGCUGAUUAGCUAGUUGGCGGGGUAAUGGCCCACCAAGGCUUUGAUCGGUAGCCGGCCUGAGAGGGCGCACGGCCACACUGGAACUGAAACACGGUCCAGACUCCUACGGGAGGCAGCAGUGGGAAUUUUGCGCAAUGGGGGAAACCCUGACGCAGCAACGCCGCGUGGAGGAUGAAGUCCCUUGGGACGUAAACUCCUUUCGACCGGGAAGAUGAUGACGGUACCGGUGGAAGAAGCCCCGGCUAACUUCGUGCCAGCAGCCGC